GCCGUUCCCGCCCUGAGGCGCGCGCAGGAGCGAUCCCUCUCAAUUUUCGGAGGACGACCCGCCCCUUUAAGGUGCCCAGCCUCUUGUGGGUGGAUACCUGUGGACCCUGCCGAAGAGAUCAGCCCCCCACUCCACACUAAGCACGCGAGGGACAGAUCAGAGAAACUCCUGUGCUCCAGGGGUCCCUCCAUGGUGGAGUCUCGUGGGGCCCACUCCCUCAGGGCCCGGACCAGGCCAGGAAGGUCCCCACCAGGCCCACAGAGGGAUCACCCACCCUGAGACACCCCCACUUCAGACACCAGGAAUAGCAAGCUUCAUCCCAGCAAGGAGGCAUCCACAAACAAGUCCUUGGACAGAGGAAGAAAGCACUCACAAGCUGGGUUAAGCGUCACGGAGAGCCGACAGGAGCAGGGAACCUACUCAGGCACAAGAGAGCAGCUGGAAGAGGGGCAGGGGUUCGAGCAGGCAGCAUCUAUAACCUGACGAAGCCGGUAGCCUUCAGGCAUCCAUGGCCCAUUUACAGACCGGUGCGGCCAUGCAGUCACCGGGAGGGGCAUUUUCCACCUCAAGGUCUUGGAAGGAGGCCUCCUCCCACCGUCUUCCGUCUCACUUGACCGAGCUGAG